UUUCCGUAGGUGAACCUGCGGAAGGAUCAUUAUUGAAUGAAACACUUCUGGCUUUAUGCUGUUGUGCUGGCCCUUUGGGCAAUGUGCACACGGCUCUGGUCACUUGUUUCUUCUGUUCCACCUCUGCACUGCCUGUAGACACGCUGUGUCUAUGAUAUUUGUUAACACACAACAAUGUUAGUUGGCAUGUUAUAUAUAAUAAUAAAAUAUACAACUUUCAACAACGGAUCUCUUGGCUCAC
rnacentral:misc_RNA from 1 species